rnacentral:rRNA from 1 species
AGGACGAACGCUAGCGACGUGCCUAAGAAAUGCAAGUCGAACGGGGUUGCCUUCGGGCAGCCUAGUGGCGAACGGUCGCGUAACACGUGGGCAACCUGCCCUGAAGCGGGGGACAACAAGCCGAAAGGUUUGCUAAUACCGCAUGUGAAUUGCUCCGGCAUCGGAGAGGAUUCAAAGCCGCAAGGCACUUCAGGAUGGGCCCGCGGCCUAUCAGCUUGUUGGUGGGGUAAUGGCCUACCAAGGCGACGACGGGUAGCUGGUCUGAGAGGACGAUCAGCCGGAUUGGGACUGAGAUACGGCCCAGACUCCUACGGGGGCAGCAAUUAGGAAUCUUGCGCAAUGGGCGAAAGCCUGACGCAGCGACGUCGCGUGAAGGAUGAAAUCUUUCGGGAUGUAAACUUCUUUAUCGGGAAGAAACAAUGACGGUACCGAUGAAUAAGCCCCGGCUAACUACGCGCCAGCAGCCGC